rnacentral:rRNA from 1 species
GACGAACGCUGGCGGCGUGCUUAACACAUGCAAGUCGAACGGAAAGGCCCUGCUUUUGUGGGGUGCUCGAGUGGCGAACGGGUGAGUAACACGUGAGUAACCUGCCCUUGACUUUGGGAUAACUUCAGGAAACUGGGGCUAAUACCGGAUAGGAGCUCCUGUUGCAUUGUGGGGGUUGGAAAUUUUCGGCUGGUGGGGAUGGACUCGCGGCUUAUCAGCUUGUUGGUGGGGUAGUGGCUUACCAAGGCUUUGACGGGUAGCCGGCCUGAGAGGGUGACCGGCCACAUUGGGACUGAGAUACGGCCCAGACUCCUACGGGAGGCAGCAGUGGGGAAUAUUGCACAAUGGGCGGAAGCCUGAUGCAGCAACGCCGCGUGCGGGAUGACGGCCUUCGGGUUGUAAACCGCUUUCGCCUGUGACGAAGCGUGAGUGACGGUAAUGGGUAAAGAAGCACCGGCUAACUACGUG